rnacentral:lncRNA from 1 species
GUUGGUCUAAUUUACAACUUUUCUGCUAACAAUAGUCCUAUGUAAUAAUAUACAAUGAGAUGUUAUUAGCUGAUCUUCUAUCAGAACUUACAUUACAAUUGUUUUGGUAGACCCAACAAUAAAGUUGGCUCGAUGAUGUUUAUAAAUGGUUAUAUGGUAGACCAACAAUAAAGUUACAACAACACAAAGCCCAUCUUGUUAAGCUUUUUUCAUAGAUAACAAACUGUCACUAAUAUUUUUCGAUAGCUGACAAACAAAAUAAAAUUAUACACCUAACAAAAUGCGAGUAUCUUACCUGCUGUAUCAGGAGGGAUGAAGGUAAAUCAGACCAAUUGAAGACGGCCAACAUGACUUGUGUUGUCGUUGUCCAUGACGAAGAUCAUCAACAUCAAUAUCCUGCCUUCCACCUGAAAGCAACUGAACGCGAUAUAUUUACGAUCAGAAAGUUGUCAAAAGUUAAUACAUCAAUUUACUAGAGUAAAACCUUACUAGCUAUUUUGACAACAUAGAAACUAAAACAUAGAGACACAGGUAAGUUGAAUUAUUUAAAGCUUAUAGAUCAUAUAAUAACAAUUUACAUUCCGAUUUUAGAACAUCUACGUUUUGUGUUUUGGAAACCCUCAUGCACUCAAACAAAGAGAUCUCAACAUCUCACAUGAAUCAAAUCAGGUUAAUUAACACUUUGCUAUAUUGCAUGACCGUGCAGAGAUCCCAACAAAAUUGAUCGAAAUUACUUAAAAUAAGAACCAAAUUAGACUAAAAAAAAAAAUCCAUGAAUAUAUAGAGUAUAAUUGCAACUAUUGAGCUUUUCAAAUGGCCUAUGAACAACCUACCUGUUAGGUCCAGCUGAUGAAAGCUAUACAAAUGCACAAUCAGUGUAUGUUAAUCUAAUUACUGCAGCUAGUGAUACUCAAGGGUGAGUUGGCUUUAGUUUCUGAUAUUUUGCCUUUUCUUGUUGAUUAUUAAUUAAACAUAGUUCAAAUUACAAUUUCCGAGAAAUCACAAGAACAAUUUGAGAGACCAGAGCUCACAGUGAAUGCAACAAACUACUUACAUAAGCAUGCAAAUAAGACUAUAUCAUGGACCAGUGUGUUCAUGAAAACCAGAUUCUUAGCAUCAUUGAGCUUUUUAAUAGAAACAGUUAAUAGAAACAAAACAAUUAAACAAACAAAAAGAACCUACAAGAACAAACAUCAAAAUUCACCAUCUCGCACUAUAUACACAACCAAAUUUAAAAAGAAAUCAAAAUUCACAACCAAAUUUAGCUUUUCUGACCUUUUUUUUACAGAUUUUUCGUCGAUUAGAGAUCAGGACUGUGGAGAGCUCGUCAGAAAGGAGAUCGGCAAUGAGAAUCUUGGCGGCGAAGAGAUCGGUAGCGAUAAACUCGUUGGCGAGGAGAUCUGCGGUGAAGGACUCACCGGCAAGGAGAACGACAACGAGGAGAUCAACGGCGAGGAGAUCCGUGCUAAAGGGCUCGUCGUAAAAGGGAUCGGCGGGGAGAUGCUCGUUGCCUAUGAGCUCGCCGGCGAGGAUCUCACCGGCGAGGAGCUCGCCGGCGAGGAGCUCGCCGAGGAGAAGGGGCCUCGUCGGCGAGGAGCUCGCCGAGGAGAAGGGGGUAAGCGUGGGGAGAGUGUGAGGUUUGGGUAAGGGGAGAGUGUGAGGGUUUGAGGGAAUUUGUUUUUAACAAAGCAGUUAGGCUCUAAUUAAAUGAACUUAAAAUUUUAUUUUAAUCAUAUAUUAAAUCUCUAAAAUAAACUUAAAAAUUUUGAAAGCUCU